CUACGGGUUGCUCCAGUGGGGAAUAUUGCACAAUGGGGGGAACCCUGAUGCAGCAACGCCGCGUGGAGGAUGACACAUUUCGGUGCGUAAACUCCUUUUAUAUAAGAAGAUAAUGACGGUAUUAUAUGAAUAAGCACCGGCUAACUCCGUGCCAGCAGCCGCGGUAAUACGGGGGGUGCAAGCGUUACUCGGAAUCACUGGGCGUAAAGAGCAUGUAGGCUGGUUAGUAAGUUGGAAGUGAAAUCCUAUGGCUUAACCAUAGAACUGCUUCCAAAACUACUAACCUAGAAUAUGGGAGAGGUAGAUGGAAUUUCUGGUGUAGGGGUAAAAUCCGUAGAGAUCAGAAGGAAUACCGAUUGCGAAGGCGAUCUACUGGAACAUUAUUGACGCUCAGAUGCGAAAGCGUGGGGAGCAAACAGGAUUAGAUACCCUUGUAGUC
rnacentral:rRNA from 1 species